rnacentral:rRNA from 1 species
UGGGGAAUAUUGCACAAUGGGCGCAAGCCUGAUGCAGCCAUGCCGCGUGUAUGAAGAAGGCCUUCGGGUUGUAAAGUACUUUUAGCGAGGAGGAAGGCGUUGUGGUUAAUAACCGCAGCGAUUGACGUUACUCGCAGAAGAAGCACCGGCUAACUCCGUGCCAGCAGCCGCGGUAAUACGGAGGGUGCAAGCGUUAAUCGGAAUUACUGGGCGUAAAGCGCACGCAGGCGGUCUGUCAAGUCGGAUGUGAAAUCCCCGGGCUCAACCUGGGAACUGCAUCCGAAACUGGCAGGCUAGAGUCUUGUAGAGGGGGGUAGAAUUCCAGGUGUAGCGGUGAAAUGCGUAGAGAUCUGGAGGAAUACCGGUGGCGAAGGCGGCCCCCUGGACAAAGACUGACGCUCAGGUGCGAAAGCGUGGGGAGCAAACA